rnacentral:lncRNA from 1 species
CAGGAACAUAUGUCUGGCCAAUAUAAGUCACAUUUUGUGAAGAUCCACAUGCAAUCAAAUAGUUAUCAGUAGGAGUAAAAACAGCAUUAGAAUCCUGAGUGAAGAAACUUGACACUACUAAUACUAGAACUAAAGGUAUCAAAUGCAUUAUUCUCAAAUUUACCAUCCUAAGGAGCCAACUAUUAUACACAAUAAACUCCAAUUCUCCUAGAAAAUUUGCAGUCCAAAGGCCACCUAAGUAGUAUUGAGAAUCAACAAUUCUAGCAUUGCAGAUCUUACUUAUCUAUCUAGAGAAAACACAAGAGAAAAAAAUCUUGAAAUAGAAAAAAGCUUUCUUGACUGACAAAACACAAGAAACUACCAAUAAACUAUGGCUACCACCAAAUUCAGAAAAAAUAGUGUCAAGACAAGAACUGAGCUUUUCCACUACCUGUAGCUUUUUUUUCCCUAAAGCUAACAACUUUCCUCAAACUGCAAAUUGGAAAUGCCGGCUUUGGCUUUGGCUUUGGUCCAGUGGUAAGAACACGUGACGUGUGGGUUAGGUGAAUGUCACAGAUUCAACCCCUACUGCGGCAAACAGAGGUAUUUAAGUAGAGAAAGGUAGAGGGAAGUGUCUAUUAUCCACUGAUUUUCGAACCGUACACUAUUACUUGGCGAUUUCUUGAUUAUAUAUUAAAGAAAAAAGAAGACUGCAGAUUGGAAAUGUGUGUAUGAACCAGUAGAAAGAAAGCAACAAAACUUGUUAUUUAGUGUAACUCUGGCAUGAAAACAUUUGCAUUUCUUGAAUUUGUUACAAUGAAAACA